GACAGAGGGUGCAAACGUUGUUCGGAUUUACUGGGCGUAAAGCGUGUGUAGGCGGCUUGGCAAGUUGGAUGUGAAAUCCCGCCGGCUCAACCGUGGACGUGCAUCCAAAACUGCUUCGCUAGAGUCUCGGAGAGGAAGGUGGAAUGCUUGGUGUAGAGGUGAAAUUCGUAGAUAUCAAGCAGAACACCUGCGGCGAAGGCGGCCUCUGGACGAGACUGACGCUGAGACACGAAAGCGUGGGAGC
rnacentral:rRNA from 1 species